ensembl:misc_RNA Y_RNA Y RNA
GGCUGGUCCAGAGGUAGUGAUUUAUCUCAGUUGAUUGUUCACAGUUAGUUACAGAUUAAAUUCUUUGCUCUACUCUUUCCUCCUUCUCACUACUACACUUGAAUAGUCCUAA